rnacentral:rRNA from 1 species
UGGCCUACGGGGGGCAGCAGUGAGGAAUAUUGGUCAAUGGGCGAGAGCCUGAACCAGCCAAGUCGCGUGAGAGAAGACGGCCCUACGGGUUGUAAACCUCUUUUGUCGGGGAGCAAGACCCGCCACGAGUGGCGGAGCGAGAGUACCCGAAGAAAAAGCAUCGGCUAACUCCGUGCCAGCAGCCGCGGUAAUACGGAGGAUGCGAGCGUUAUCCGGAAUGAUUGGGCGUAAAGGGUGCGUAGGCGGCCUGCUAAGUCUGGAGUGAAAGGUACCGGCUCAACCGGUACAGGCUCUGGAAACUGGCG